UGCUUGCGCAGCUACCAUGCAGUCGAGCGGUAACAGAUCCAGCUUGCUGGAUGCUGACGAGCGGCGGACGGGUGAGUAAUGCAUAGGAAUCUGCCCGAUAGUGGGGGAUAACCUGGGGAAACCCAGGCUAAUACCGCAUACGUCCUACGGGAGAAAGGGGGCUUCGGCUCCCGCUAUCGGAUGAGCCUAUGUCGGAUUAGCUAGUUGGUGAGGUAACGGCUCACCAAGGCCACGAUCCGUAGCUGGUCUGAGAGGAUGAUCAGCCACAUCGGGACUGAGACACGGCCCGAACUCCUACGGGAGGCAGCAGUGGGGAAUAUUGGACAAUGGGGGGAACCCUGAUCCAGCCAUGCCGCGUGUGUGAAGAAGGCCCUCGGGUUGUAAAGCACUUUCAGCGAGGAAGAACGCCUAGCGGUUAAUACCCGCUAGGAAAGACAUCACUCGCAGAAGAAGCACCGGCUAACUCCGUGCCAGCAGCCGCGGUAAUACGGAGGGUGCAAGCGUUAAUCGGAAUUACUGGGCGUAAAGCGCGCGUAGGUGGCUUGAUAAGCCGGUUGUGAAAGCCCCGGGCUCAACCUGGGAACGGCAUCCGGAACUGUCAAGCUAGAGUGCAGGAGAGGAAGGUAGAAUUCCCGGUGUAGCGGUGAAAUGCGUAGAGAUCGGGAGGAAUACCAGUGGCGAAGGCGGCCUUCUGGACUGACACUGACACUGAGGUGCGAAAGCGUGGGUAGCAAACAGGAUUAGAUACCC
rnacentral:rRNA from 1 species